AUUGAACGCUGGCGGCAGGCCUAACACAUGCAAGUCGGGCGGUAGCACAGGAGAGCUUGCUCUCUGGGUGACGAGCGGCGGACGGGUGAGUAAUGUCUGGGAAACUGCCUGAUGGAGGGGGAGAACUACUGGAAACGGUAGCUAAUACCGCAUAACGUCGCAAGACCAAAGAGGGGGACCUUCGGGCCUCCUGCCAUCGGACGUGCCCAGAUUGGAUGAGCUAGUAGGUAAGGUAAAGGCUCACCUAGGCGACGAUCCCUAGCUGGUCUGAGAGGAUGACCAGCCACACUGGAACUGCGACACGGUCCAGACUCCUACGGGAGGCAGCAGUGGGGAACAUUGCACAAUGGGCGCAAGCCUGAUGCAGCCAUGCCGCGUGUAUGAAGAAGGCCUUCGGGUUGUAAAGUACUUUCAGCGGGGAGGAAGGUGUUGUGGUUAAUAACCGCAGCAAUUGACGUUACCCGCAGAAGAAGCACCGGCUAACUCCGUGCCAGCCGCCGCAGUAA
rnacentral:rRNA from 1 species